rnacentral:rRNA from 1 species
UACGAAGGGGGCUAGCGUUGCUCGGAAUUACUGGGCGUAAAGCGCACGUAGGCGGAUUGUUAAGUCGGGGGUGAAAUCCUGGAGCUCAACUCCAGAACUGCCUCCGAUACUGCGAGUCUCCGAGUCCGGGAGAGGUGAGUGGAACUGCGAGUGUAGAGGUGAAAUUCGUAGAUAUUCGCAAGAACACCAGUGGCGAAGGCGGUUCACUGGCCCGGUACUGACGCUGAGGUGCG